rnacentral:lncRNA from 1 species
UUAUUAUAGUAAAAGGACACUUGGAUAUUCUCCUUAAAGGAAUGUUGACAAGAUUACCAAGUAUGCUUUCUCAUCACUGUAUAUUUUAAAUGGCUCAGCUAUGACUCCCACGUUUGUUUGAGAAUCAUUGAAGCUGCUUGAAUGGAACUGGGAUAUCCUUUGUUCCCACUGAUUUGGAAACAAAUGACUCAGGAAAAAAAGUUUACUUUGCUGCUAAAUGCCAUAUGCAGAUGAACGUAUUGCUGAUUAAAUUAAACCAAGGAUCUGAAGACUUUUUCAAGUCAUAGAAAGAAUGCUCUCGUUGUUACGGUACAUGUUCCAAUUUGCCCUCCCGUUUUCGUUUAUCCUACUGGGCUUGGGUCCGACAUAGGGUUACUUACGUCACACACCCGAGUCUUCAGGAAUAAUAAAGCGUAAUCAAUACGGGAGAGGCAGCAUCAAAGACGACAAAAGAUGCUGUGUUGUUUCUGAGGUGGAAAAGAAGCACAUGGACAUAAGCAGGCAGUGCCCUCUGCUCAUUUUCUCCUCUCUUCAUCUUUUCCAGUUUCUCAAGGCUGAGGGUCUCAUCUCGUGGCACUGCUGACAUUGGGAUUGUUGUGCCUUGUGGGGUGUUUAUCAGCUUCCCUGGCCUGGACCACCACAUGCCAGCAGCACCCUGUUUGCAGUCAUGACAAGCAGCUUUCCCUCCUCCUACCCUGCUGCCACAUCACAUGUCCCCUAGAAGGGGGGAUCGUCACUGGCCAGCAGAUGAAGCAAAGAUCUGAAGAUUAACAAAACAAACAAAAAACCCAGAAAACUCCUCUGACACAAGAGAAACUUCUUGACAGUGUAAAAACUAAUCCACUUGGCUUCUAAGAAGUAGGCCUGAGCAGCUCAGAAUCAAAACACAGGAAGUAAGUUGUAAAUGGCAGAAUGAAUAAAAACUACUUGGGGGGGGGGGGGGAAACAGAACCUGCUCUUUAACUGUCACAUUUCCAAGUGGGGAGGGAGCUCAGGGGGUGAGAGUGUUCAUCCAGUGGCUCCGUUUGCAAGAAAGAAAACAGCCAGGAUACAACUCAGUAAACUUAAAAAGCCAUUGAAUCACACACUUAAAAUGGGUGAAUUUUAUGGCACGUAAAUUAUGUCUCAAUUAAGGUGUUAAAAAAGGUAAAGUCAACUUAGCAGUUAAAAGUUGUUUGAUUUUGCCCUGGGUCAGCCAGUACGGGUUCCACUCUUGUGCGUGCAUGUGUGCGUGGUUGAAAAAUGUGGUGUGUGUGUCUGGAGCACCCCA